CCUCCUGGUUCUUAGAUGCAUUCUUGCACUGAUUUUUAUAGUGCCCAGUUUUUCCACAAUUCCAACAUUCGAUGGACUUCGUGUUAUUGAAAUUGCUGGGAUUCCUGGAUUUGGACCUCCUGUCCUUUGAUUUGCCUCGGUAGUUUGAUCUACCGCGUCCAUUUCCUCUGGUUGAAUUUCUUCCUCUUGAUUCUGUAUGCAAGACUGAAGAAGUUGAAGGUUCAUUUGAC
rnacentral:lncRNA from 1 species